CUACGGGAGGCAGCAGUGGGGAAUUUUGGACAAUGGGGGCAACCCUGAUCCAGCCAUUCCGCGUGAGUGAAGAAGGCCUUCGGGUUGUAAAGCUCUUUCGCAAGGGAAGAAAACUUAUGAUCGAAUAAAUCAUGAGGUUGACGGUACCUUGAUAAGAAGCACCGGCUAACUACGUGCCAGCAGCCGCGGUAAUACGUAGGGUGCGAGCGUUAAUCGGAAUUACUGGGCGUAAAGCGUGCGCAGGCGGUUUUGUAAGUCGGAUGUGAAAUCCCCGGGCUCAACCUGGGAACUGCGUUCGAAACUGCAAGGCUAGAGUGUGUCAGAGGGGGGUAGAAUUCCACGUGUAGCAGUGAAAUGCGUAGAGAUGUGGAGGAAUACCAAUGGCGAAGGCAGCCCCCUGGGAUAACACUGACGCUCAUGCACGAAAGCGUGGGGAGCAAACAGGAUUAGAUACCCUGGUAGUCCACGCCCUAAACGAUGUCAACUAGUUGUUGGUAGAGUAAAAUCUAUGAGUAACGUAGCUAACGCGUGAAGUUGACCGCCUGGGGAGUACGGUCGCAAGNUUAAAACUCAAAGGAAUUGACGG
rnacentral:rRNA from 1 species